GAAGGAGAAAAGGACCAUCAUUGGAAGGGCUUUCACUGCCAAAAUGUGGACCAGCCCGGCAAGGUCAAAGGUUUGAGACCGCUGGAGACCAAGGUCUCCAGAUGGCUGAAACAUGAAUGGAAACAUCCUGGUUUUCUUUGGAAUAAACAAUCUCUGCUUAAGUUAAAAGUGAAAAUUUAUGAUUUUCCACAUAUUUGGAUCAGAACUAUGCUAUUCCGUAAAUGAAAAUUCAUCAGGUUUGCCACUAAUAUUUAGAACACCUCUAUGAAUCCUAUUCAGAUUACUGCAGAAUAUAUAAAGAAUUGGCCUAUCACCAAAAUCCUUUUUAAUAUUGAGUCUGGAUGAUUCUCAUGCAUAUAAAACACAGUCUACUAAUAUAGUCAAGACUACCAUUUUCUACAUAAAAGCCAUUUAAUUUACAGUGAUUUGUAUAGUUCAGGCAAGGUACUUGACUGGCUUGCUUUCUAAUAAAAGUAUCCUAUUAUUU